GACGAACGCUGGCGGCGUGCCUAACACAUGCAAGUCGAACGGAAAGGCCCUGAUUUCGUGGGGUGCUCGAUUGCCGAACGCGUGCGUAACACGUGAGUAACCUGCCCUAGUCUUUGGGAUGACUUCAGGAAACUGGGGCUACUCUCGGAUCGGAUCUCCUGCUCCGUUGUGGGGGUUGGAAAGUCUCGGCGGUCGGGGAUGGAUUCGCGGGUUACGAGCUUGUUGGUGGGGUAGUGGCUUACCCAGGCUUAGACGGGUAGCCGGCCUGAGAGGGUGGACGGGGACAUGGGGACUGAGGGACGGAGCAGACGCGUAUGGGAGGCAGCGGUGGGGAGCAUGGCACAAUGAGCGGAAGCGUGUGGCAGCAACGCCGCGUGCGGGAUGACGGCUUGUGGGGUAUGAACCGCUGUCGCCUGUGACGAAGCGGGAGUGACGGUAAUGAGUAAAGAAGCACCGGCUAACUACGUG
rnacentral:rRNA from 1 species